rnacentral:rRNA from 1 species
AUUGAACGCUGGCGGCAGGCCUAACACAUGCAAGUCGAGCGGAGCGGCGGACGGGGGAGGAAUGCCUAGGAAUCUGCCUGGUAGUGGGGGAUACAGUCCGGAAACGGGCGCUAAUACCGCAUACUAUCAGAUGAGCCUAGGGCGGAUUAGAUAGGUGGUGGGGUACAGGCCUACCAAGGCGACGAUCCGUAACUGGUCUGAGAGGAUGAUCAGUCACACUGGAACUGAGACACGGUCCAGACUCCGACGGUAGGCAGCAGUGGGGAAUAUUGGACAAUGGGCGAAAGCCUGAUCCAGCCAUGCCGCGUGGGUGAAGAAGGUCUUCGGAUUGUAAAGCUCUGUAAGUUGGGAGGCGGUACCAACAGAAUAAGCAACGGCUAACUUCGUGCCAGCAGCCGCGGUAAUUC